rnacentral:tRNA from 1 species
CAGGCUGUAGUUUAGUUGGCUAAAACACGCCGUUCGGGACGGUGAGAGCGCCGGUUCAAGUCCGGCCAGCCUGA